UGUCUCUGCUGAUACUGACACAGGACUUAGGGUGUGUCAGAAGAGCUUAUCUAUGGGGAACACAGGUCCUGUGUCAUGACAUUUUUAAGUGACACCUUUUUGUUAAUUAUUACCUUUUUUUUUUUGACUGUACAGUGCCUUUUUUUUAUUCCUGCAUGUGGCUUCUGUGAGUUCUGGGGUAAAGGGCAGCUUGGAACCUUUCUCAUCAAGGGUAUGUGGAACUGUUUUAAAACCAUUCCGAAGGAACAAAAAUGGGAAAUCCAAAACCAAGGCAGAAAGAAGCCCAGAAGGAGCAGCCUGACGGUUAGGGCCCAGAAGUUAGAACCGCAGACCCGGGAGUGGACGGCCAGGCCACUCGGCUUCCUCAGUUACAGAGGGAGGAGGAAACACAUCUCUGGCUUAGGGCCACCGUGAAAACUUUUAGAAAGUCCACCAACACAGCCACACAGAAUGGCUGCUGUGAACAAGCAGCUGUCAAAGGAUUGACUCGAUGGUGUAAAAUGCUAUUAGGAGAAAGAAUGGCCAAGUCUGAAUGAGAGCAUGUAUUUCAUCGUGAAGAUAAAAGUCUUUCUUCUCUCUAGUGAAUACAGUGCUAAUGCUGCCCACUAUCUGCCACCCUGAACUUAGAAACAGCAACAGACUGCACCGUGAGAGUUGCAUCCAUUAGUCUGCAUAUCACCCAAUAAGAUGCUGUAUAAGCAACAUCCCUGAACUUGCACCGGGAUCCAUUGGCAACAGAGGCAGACAAGUCACAUGUUCUGAAGGAGUGGUGGACAGUGAGGAGCCAAGGUCUUAUGCACACAAUUACAAACGAACAACAGUGCAGAGUGGCUAAUGAAGCCAGGAAGACUGUGGCAAGCAAGCAGAGGCGUGUGACUCACGACUCCCCAAGGUGACAGAACCUGGGGUUCAACAUAUGACAUAUGAGAAGACAGGACAUCCUGAAGACAUACAAGAGAUGAUAAAUUUCUUAGAGUAAGAGUAAGAGCCAAGGUCUCCUAAGCACAGGUAGGUCUGAAGCAGUUAUACCUCAGGUGGGUCUGGCUGCAUGUAGUAUGGUAAGAGAUGCUCCACAGAGUCUGUGAGAAAAGUCACUCAAAAUACUUUCACAAGGAUCAAUGUGUGUGCACGUAAGAUUAAGUGCUCCAGAUCCAAAGGGCUUGAGACCAGAGAUGUUUUAGAAUGAGACUUUUGUAUCUUCUAAUAUUUGCAUAAACUUACUAAAUGGGUAACUGUAAUCUGAAAAUCAAAAGUCUGAAACCUUAGGAAUGCCAUACCUGUGCUCAAGGCAUCUUGGAUUUCAGGAUACAUUGGAGUGUGUGUGGCGGGGGUGCAUGUGGAGGCCACGGGACAACUUUAGGUAUCAUUGCUUAGGAGUUGCCUAACUUAUAUUCUGAGAGGAUCUCUCACUGGCCUACUGUUCACCAAGCAGGUGGUGCUGGCUAGCGAGCCUCGGGGACCUGCCUGCCUCUGCCUGCCCAGUGUGGGGUCACACGUGCCUGCCACUGGUCCUGACUAUCAUGUAGGUUCUGGUGACUCAACUCCUAGCUCUUGUGCAGCAAGAAUUUUACUACUAAGCCAUUCCCUCGGCCUAUAUUUUGGGAUUUUAGAUAUGCUCAACUGUGUCUUUCUCCUUAGAGACUGUGGUUUGUGGUAAAAUUCCAAAGUACAAAACCCCAGGUAGAUUGAGACUUACUAAAAAGCCCACCACCACCUGAAAAAGGUCUAAUGGGGAGGCACAACAGUUAUUUAAUUAGCACACACUGAUUAACUUAACCCUGUGCAACCACUGUCUUCUGUUACUGCUAAUUCUGUUUUUGAAGUCAAAUGAAAUAAAGUAGCUGAAGAGUAAUUAAUGUGUCCAGUCCCUUUACCCCGUGGCUAUGAUGACUUGGUUGCCCUUUGCUGCAGAGGUUUCCUGAGAAGAUGCUGGAACAGCUUUGAAACAACUCAAAGGCGUGUUCUCAGGAGGUGGUGACUUCGCAUUAAAAACCUUAACCUGAACAGGCCUCUGAGCAGCACAUCCUCUAAUGAUGAUGUGAGACAUGAGAUUAAUUUGAAAGCUUUGCAAUGACUGGAUAGGUAAGUGUAGGUGUUCUGUUAAGCAUUU